AUUGAACGCUGGCGGCAGGCCCAACACAUGCAAGUCGAGCGGAUGACGGGAGCUUGCUCCUUGAUUCAGCGGCGGAUGGGUGAGUAAUGCCCAGGAAUCUGCCUGGCAGGGGGGGACAACGUGUAGAAAGGAACGCUAAUACGGCAUACGUCCUACGGGAGAGAGCAGGGGACCUUCGGGCCGCGCGCGAUCAGAUGAGCCUAGGUCGGAUUAGCUAGUUGGUGGGGUAAUGGCGCACCAAGGCGACGAUCCGUAACUGGUCGGAGAGGAUGAUCAGUCACACUGGAACUGAGACACGGUCCAGACUCCUACGGGAGGCAGCAGUGGGGAAUAUUGGACAAUGGGCGAAAGCCUGAUCCAGCCAUGCCGCGUGUGUGAAGAAGGUCUUCGGAUUGUAAAGCACUUUAAGUUGGGAGGAAGGGCAGUAAGUUAAUACCUUGCUGUUUUGACGUUACCGACAGAAUAAGCACCGGCUAACUCUGUGCCAGCCGCCGCAGUAAGAC
rnacentral:rRNA from 1 species